rnacentral:rRNA from 1 species
AGUUUGAUCCUGGCUCAGGAUGAACGCUGGCGGCGUGCCUAACACAUGCAAGUCGAGCGAUUCUCUUCGGAGAAGAGCGGCGGACGGGUGAGUAACGCGUGGGUAACCUGCCCUGUACACACGGAUAACAUACCGAAAGGUAUGCUAAUACGAGAUAAUAUACUUUUAUCGCAUGGUAGAAGUAUCAAAGCUCCGGCGGUACAGGAUGGACCCGCGUCUGAUUAGCUAGUUGGUAAGGUAACGGCUUACCAAGGCGACGAUCAGUAGCCGACCUGAGAGGGUGAUCGGCCACAUUGGAACUGAGACACGGUCCAAACUCCUACGGGAGGCAGCAGUGGGGAAUAUUGCACAAUGGGCGAAAGCCUGAUGCAGCAACGCCGCGUGAGCGAUGAAGGCCUUCGGGUCGUAAAGCUCUGUCCUCAAGGAAGAUAAUGACGGUACUUGAGGAGGAAGCCCCGGCUAACUACGUGCCAGCAGCCGCGGUAAUACGUAGGGGGCUAGCGUUAUCCGGAAUUACUGGGCGUAAAGGGUGCGUAGGUGGUUUCUUAAGUCAGAGGUGAAAGGCUACGGCUCAACCGUAGUAAGCCUUUGAAACUGGGAAACUUGAGUGCAGGAGAGGAGAGUGGAAUUCCUAGUGUAGCGGUGAAAUGCGUAGAUAUUAGGAGGAACACCAGUUGCGAAGGCGGCUCUCUGGACUGUAACUGACACUGAGGCACGAAAGCGUGGGGAGCAAACAGGAUUAGAUACCCUGGUAGUCCACGCCGUAAACGAUGAGUACUAGCUGUCGGAGGUUACCCCCUUCGGUGGCGCAGCUAACGCAUUAAGUACUCCGCCUGGGAAGUACGCUCGCAAGAGUGAAACUCAAAGGAAUUGACG